UAAGGAAUCUUCCACAAUGGACGAAAGUCUGAUGGAGCAACACCGCGUGCAGGAUGACGGCCUUCGGGUUGUAAACUGCUUUUAUAUGGGAAGAUUAUGACGGUACCAUAUGAAUAAGGACCGGCUAACUACGUGCCAGCAGCCGCGGUAAUACGUAGGGUCCAAGCGUUAUCCGGAAUCACUGGGCGUAAAGCGUGCGUAGGCGGCGUGUUAAGUGUGAUGUUAAAUCGUGGGGCUCAACCCUGUCGGUGCAUCACAUACUGGCAUGCUAGAGGAAGGCAGAGGCAAGUGGAAUUUGUAGUGUAGCAGUGAAAUGCGUAGAUAUUACAAGGAACACCAAUGGCGAAGGCAGCUUGCUGGGCCUUUUCUGACGCUGAGGUACGAAAGCGUGGGGAGCGAACAGG
rnacentral:rRNA from 1 species